GCUCCCGGUCGCCGCGACCCCGCGGGGAGGCCCAGAACUACGCUGGGGCUGCUGAAACGGCUCCCCGCAGAAAGAUGUCUUGAAGUAAAGAAACCUGCUCUUUCUGGAUAAAUGUGACACAAUAGGAGUGGGAGCAGGUCGCUCUUUGGAGAUGGCCCUAAUGUGAAGAUCUUCACAAGUCCUGUGGAAGGCAGUGAGACAGCAAGAGCAGGAGAAUUCUUCUGGGUGA